UACAGAGGGGGCAAGCGUUGUUCGGAAUUACUGGGCGUAAAGGGCGCGUAGGCGGCCUUCUAAGUCGAACGUGAAAUCCCCGGGCUCAACCCGGGAACUGCGUCCGAUACUGGAAGGCUUGAAUCCGGGAGAGGGAUGCGGAAUUCCAGGUGUAGCGGUGAAAUGCGUAGAUAUCAGGAGGAACACCAGUGGCGAAGGCGGCUUUCUGGACGGUAACUGACGCUGAGACGCGAAAGCGUGGGGAGCAAACAGG
rnacentral:rRNA from 1 species